UUGGAGGAUUAAGAAAGUCGAGUCAUUGCAGUCCAGCAGGUUCGACUGAUACGCUCCUCCUACAUGAAAAAGGUAGAGGAACAGGCCCUGGGUGCCAGGUCGACUCUGGGCCUACUUACUCUACCUACAGUGA
rfam:Ornithorhynchus anatinus Cont18997.6, whole genome shotgun sequence.